rnacentral:rRNA from 1 species
UACGUAGGGUGCAAGCGUUGUCCGGAAUUAUUGGGCGUAAAGAGCUCGUAGGCGGUUUGUCGCGUCGAAUGUGAAAACCCGGGGCUCAACUCCGGGCCUGCAUUCGAUACGGGCAGACUAGAGUUCGGUAGGGGAGUCUGGAAUUCCUGGUGUAGCGGUGAAAUGCGCAGAUAUCAGGAGGAACACCGGUGGCGAAGGCGGGUCUCUGGGCCGAUACUGACGCUGAGGAGCGAAAGCGUGGGGAGCGAACAGG